CUAUUAUGAAUAUUAAGAGUCAGAGGUAGUAUUCCUAAAGUGAAAGCCUAGUUUCAGUGAUAUGCUGUAUGAUCCUUCAGUGCUGCCUUACAGAGCUGCUCAGACUUAUUUUUUUAACAUUCCCCCCAGCCCCAUUGAACACAUUGUCCUAGAAUGGCAAAAAUGAGUUGCAGGAAACAACAUUUCAGCUUCUUUUCUGAUACUUCCAGAUGUGAGUAAAAUCUUUUAAGCCCAAACAUAAGUUAGCCAGCUAUUUCUGAACCUUCUCUGGAACCUCCACGGGCCUCAGUUUCCUCAUUUGUAAAAUGAGAGGGUUUGGUCUCUGAGGUCCCUUCCAGCUCUAAAUCAAGGAUCUCUGUGCAGUGGGCUGCAACCCUCUCUUGAACAGAAGUGAAGAUUCCCAUUCUCCUCCCUCUCUCCCUUUCAGGCAAGUAGAGGAGAAGCCAAUGCAAGUACCAGAUCUAAAGAGAACUUGGGAGGAGAGGAGGACUCAGUGAGAUCACGCCCAUUUAAAAAACAAGGCCUUCUGAGGAGUCCCCCUCAGUUUAGGAAUGGAACUUUUGGAAUACAACAACAAUUACACCAAAAAAAGCACAUGGAGAUUGUGUUCUAGGAAAUUAUCAGGUUCGAAAACUCAUGCUGUGAUAAUCAGACGAAAAAAGACCUCAGAAAUCGGAAGGAGAGAGAAGGCGGUCUCUCUAAAGUCAAGUUUAACAGAUAAUUUCAUAUUUUCCAUAAUUUGGAGGGAGAAGAAUAUCUGUGCUGAGCGCUUGAAUGGGAGAAGUUGUGGGUGAAACUGAGGAACAGUUCGGCAAAUCAGAGGCUGAGAUCAGAAGGGAACAGACUCUCCAGAAGUGAUGAGGGCUUCCUUCCUUAUUCCCAAAUGGCACAGAGAUUCAUUAAGGGCACAAGCAUUCGUUAAGCAUCUACUAUGUGUCAGGCACUGUGCAGGGCAACGUCUCGGGCACGCAGAAGCCCCAUUAAAGCCUUUGGAGAAGGGAGAAAGACGUCUGCCCCGGGGGCGAUCUUGCCCCUCUCCUCUUAUUCCUUGGACAACCUGAUUCUCAGUCUUCCUUUCUAUCGUCAGUGAGAGGAAUUCAUCUCUGAGAGGACUCUGCCACGUGCCGUUGCUGGAAGAUGCGCAUCUCCUGGAACCAUCUGGAGCGUUCCGGGUGCCUUCGCUCUCUUCACACUUCUCCUCGAGAAGACAGAGGGAGGGAGGCGGAGAAGGAGCAUUCUUCCCUCCUGAAAUGAUCUGGGGAGCUUUUUCUCGGGGUCAAAGCUGGGAUUUAGUGGACAGGGUGGGGAGACCAGGCCCUGAGGAUUUACCCGCGCCUUCCGCCCUGUUCUUUUCAGCGCCGUAGGUAAUUCCCAGAGCCGUUGCAACCAGCUCUCCGUGUGCUUUGCGCGCCCUCUCCUGGUCGGAGAGGCCCACGGUUCGGGGUGGUUUCAGCCGCUGGCUGUACACAUUUGCUUUCAGCCCAGUCCAUUCAUUUGACGUGUGCCUUAAGAGCAAGGCAAGCUUCAUCAAAAGAACUGCCAUUCUGUGAGAUGCCAAGGAAUGCAUUUAUUGGCUGCCAAGUUUGCCAAUAAAAGUUGCAGAUGUAGAGUGCUGGUUUUCA
rnacentral:lncRNA from 1 species